UACGAAGGGGGCUAGCGUUGCUCGGAAUCACUGGGCGUAAAGGGCGCGUAGGCGGAUAGUACAGUCAGGCGUGAAAUUCCUGGGCUCAACCUGGGGGCUGCGUUUGAUACGUGUUGUCUGGAGUUCGGAAGAGGGUCGUGGAAUUCCCAGUGUAGAGGUGAAAUUCGUAGAUAUUGGGAAGAACACCGGUGGCGAAGGCGGCGACCUGGUCCGAUACUGACGCUGAGGCGCGAAAGCGUGGGGAGCAAACAGG
rnacentral:rRNA from 1 species